AUAUAAAUGGAAGGAACAGGAAGCAAGAGGAACCUCAGAAGGAGAGAGUAGGCUGAGGACUGAAGGCUGUAGGGAAACUGCCUUUUGCUGUAUGCUGUUAUACCUUUUAAGAAAGGACUAAAUACACAUGUGGUGAAAAGGAAGGCACGUAAAGUACUACAACUUUCAAGUACCAGAAAGGACAUCUAGUGAAUGAAGGAUUCAAUCCAGAAGUUAGAUUUUUUUUUUUUAAAUUUCUUUGAUGGGAUUGCAAAACUCUAUAUUGCUUUGAGAAAAGAUCUGCAAAAAGGUGGCUUCUUGUCAAAUAUGACUGUAAGUGGUACAUCCAUGACAUUCUGAAUGUUGCAGAAAAGGCAGCUUCAUGUUACUUCUAGAAUUCAAGAGGGAUAAUUUCAUAUUGCCAGUGUUAAAACUCUACACAGCUAACAUCAGAAAAGUAUAAAAAGAAUGAUCUAAACAUACUGAACUGGUGUUAAAUAACGCAAUUCUGGCUGAAGCCAGAUAUUAUGCAAAUGUAACUGGUAUUUUAUGUGAUGACCAAGUUACUGUGCUUUCUAUUAGAAACAUUCUUUCAAUGAAAAGAAUCUUCAUAUUGCAAAUCUGAG